rnacentral:rRNA from 1 species
GUGAGGAAUUUUCCGCAAUGGGCGAAAGCCUGACGGAGCAAUGCCGCGUGAAGGAUGAAGGCCUAUGGGUUGUAAACUUCUUUUCUCAGAAAAGAAUUAUGACGGUAUCUGAGGAAUAAGCAUCGGCUAACUCUGUGCCAGCAGCCGCGGUAAGACAGAGGAUGCAAGAGUUAUCCGGAAUGAUUGGGCGUAAAGCGUCUGUAGGUUGUUUAAAAAGUAUUCUGUCAAAGAUUAGGGCUUAACCCUAGGUAGGCAGAAUAAACUUUUAAGCUAGAGUUUGGUAGAGGCAGAGGGAAUGCCCGGUGGAGCGGUGAAAUGCGUAGAUAUCGGGAGGAACACCAAAGGCGAAGGCACUCUGCUGGGCCAAUACUAACACUGAGAGACGAAAGCGAGGGGAGCAAAUGGGAUUAGAAACCCGAGUAGUCC